rnacentral:rRNA from 1 species
AGAGUUUGAUCAUGGCUCAGGAUGAACGCUGGCGGCGUGCCUAAUACAUGCAAGUCGAGCGAAUGGAUUAAGAGCUUGCUCUUAUGAAGUUAGCGGCGGACGGGUGAGUAACACGUGGGUAACCUGCCCAUAAGACUGGGAUACCUCCGGGAAACCGGGGCUAAUACCGGAUAAUAUUUUGAACUGCAUGGUUCGAAAUUGAAAGGCGGCUUCGGCUGUCACUUAUGGAUGGACCCGCGUCGCAUUAGCUAGUUGGUGAGGUAACGGCUCACCAAGGCAACGAUGCGUAGCCGACCUGAGAGGGUGAUCGGCCACACUGGGACUGAGACACGGCCCAGACUCCUACGGGAGGCAGCAGUAGGGAAUCUUCCGCAAUGGACGAAAGUCUGACGGAGCAACGCCGCGUGAGUGAUGAAGGCUUUCGGGUCGUAAAACUCUGUUGUUAGGGAAGAACAAGUGCUAGUUGAAUAAGCUGGCACCUUGACGGCACCUAACCAGAAAGCCACGGCUAACUACGUGCCAGCCGCCGCGGUAAUAC